UACGGGGGGGGCAAGCGUUGUUCGGAAUUACUGGGCGUAAAGGGCGCGUAGGCGGCCCUCUAAGUCGAACGUGAAAUCCCCGGGCUCAACCCGGGAACUGCGUCCGAUACUGGCAGGCUUGAAUCCGGGAGAGGGAUGUGGAAUUCCAGGUGUAGCGGUGAAAUGCGUAGAUAUCUGGAGGAACACCGGUGGCGAAGGCGGCAUCCUGGACCGGUAUUGACGCUGAUGCGCGAAAGCCAGGGGAGCAAACGGG
rnacentral:rRNA from 1 species